rnacentral:rRNA from 1 species
GAUGAACGCUGGCGGCGUGCCUAAUACAUGCAAGUCGAGCGAACAGACGAGGAGCUUGCUCCUCUGACGUUAGCGGCGGACGGGUGAGUAACACGUGGAUAACCUACCUAUAAGACUGGGAUAACAUCGGGAAACCGGAGCUAAUACCGGAUAAUAUAUUGAACCGCAUGGUUCAAUAGUGAAAGACGGUUUUGCUGUCACUUAUAGAUGGAUCCGCGCCGCAUUAGCUAGUUGGUAAGGUAACGGCUUACCAAGGCAACGAUGCGUAGCCGACCUGAGAGGGUGGUCGGCCACACUGGAACUGAGACACGGUCCAGACUCCUACGGGAGGCAGCAGUAGGGAAUCUUCCGCAAUGGGCGAAUGCCUGACGGUGCAACGCCGCGUGAGUGAUGAAGGUCUUCGGAUCGUAAAGCUCUGUUAUUAGUGAAGAACAAAUGUGUAAUUAACUAUGCACGUCUUGACGGUACCUAAUCAGAAAGCCCCGGCUAACUACGUG